AGGGCGGAACCCGAAAAGCCCGAACAGAGUAAGGA
rnacentral:ncRNA from 1 species